UACGAAGGGCGCAAGCGUUACUCGGAAUUACUGGGCGUAAAGCGUGCGUAGGUGGUUUGUUAAGUCUGAUGUGAAAGCCCUGGGCUCAACCUGGGAAUUGCAUUGGAUACUGGCAGGCUAGAGUGCGGUAGAGGAUGGCGGAAUUCCCGGUGUAGCAGUGAAAUGCGUAGAGAUCGGGAGGAACAUCUGUGGCGAAGGCGGCCAUCUGGACCAGCACUGACACUGAGGCACGAAAGCGUGGGGAGCAAACAGGG
rnacentral:rRNA from 1 species